UGCAGACAGACCAAAGGUGAUGAUCCCACAUCAGCAACAAGAGUCAGGAGGAAGUCUUCAGAAGCAGGAAUGCAUAGAUCCAAGAAAGAUCAUAUGUGAAGCACCAGUCUAUGCUCUGUAUCUCGCCUUCCACUUUUCAAGGCAUCACUCUGAUGAAGAUCUCCUCCUUCAGCUGUGCUCUCCAUGGCCUCUGAACAUAUAACAUAGUCCUAGCUCACCCAAAUGAAACAAACAGGUAGGGAGGAAAACAAGGACAGAAACCAGGAGGCCCAGCCCAGGAUUAAAAACACACCACAGCCUUUCCAAAAAGUCAGAGUCAUACAUGGAUCACUUGGAAAUAACUGAACUUGCAAAUCCAGUUUCCCAUGGACCUGCUGAGUUUAUGAGGAAAAGGUGGCUGUGGCCAUUACCAAGUUAUUAAAACCACAGAGAUCUUGACUUGUAUGGACUGAGAUGAGGCUUCCAUCAGCAUCUCGCAUAAAUAACAUAACACUGAUGCAGCAGAUGAACAUGGAAUCAGUGACAUCCACAAGAAGACAAUAGGCUUGGAGGAGAAACAGACCUUGACUUCAAGACACAACGCAGAGGGAAAUAUCGCUGAUACAAAGCUUGAAGAUGAUCAUCUAUGUACCCAUCGGGACAUUUUUAAAGGGACAAGUGGAAUGAGCGAAGACUUUGAAGACAGUCUUGUCUGCCAGGCACUCAGAUCAUCAGGAAGCAGAAAAGGAGAUGCAAGAUCAGGUUGAGAGGUAUUUUGUGCAGGAAUACACAUUCAGUGUUAUAAUGUAAUUGAAAAAGAGUCUAUUUCAGAGGCAUCAGCUUCACAGCCACCAUGGUUUAACCUCACCUGUGGUGUGAGAUGGACAGUGGGUAUGGGUGGCCCCUCCUAUGGGUGGGAAGCACAGUGAUGUGUUGGGCACCUGAGCAGGGCUGCCAAGAUUUUCUAAAGCAUUCUG